CAGACCGUUGCUUGGUGAGGUGGAAAGAAGUGGUAAGAGAAAUAGAAACAAACUACCAAUUUUUUUUUUUUUCUAUGUCAGCAAACUCAGAAUGCAAUUCCCCUGGAACUCAUCUCCAGAGACAAAGUAGACUCCGGUGAAGUGGAGCAAGUCUGCAGGAUUGAAGCUCAGAUAACUCAUCUGCCCACCUCCGAGUUAAGAACCCUAAAACUUUCUGGGCUGGGGGUGGCUGGGAAAUUGCUCGAUUUUGUACUUCAAGUGUAGGGUUCUGUUGCCCCACUCUCUCUCCCUGAGUCUGUCUUUUGUCUCUUCACUCAUCCCUGUCCAACCCCAACUCCUACGUAAGCUCAAGUCCCUAAAAUCUGAUGCUACUUGCAUUUCCACAUAUCCACCUUUGUUAGGUUCUGAGAAAGGAAACCACUUCAGAUCUUUGUUCAGAAGUCAUGUUUCAAAUAUAAUUUUAGGUGGUGAAAUUUUACCUUAAGCUGGUAUUUAUUUAACUCAUUUGUUCUAAAGAAAUAAAGUCUGCUACAAAAAAGCAGAGUUAGCUGAUUCUCAUCUAGUGGUGGUUGCUAGGAAACCAAAUUAGAAUCGCCUAAGCUCUGACUUCCCUGUCUUGGGAACUCUGGAGAAUUAAUGCAGGCACAAUUGAUUCAAUGAUGAAUCAGCAUUAUCCAGUGAGAUCUUUUCUUUCUUCCUGUUAAAUUGUUAUUUAAAUAAUUAACUUUAGCCUAUAGUUUGUCUUAGCUCCUCAGUUAAUCUUUAGACUCUCAGAAAAUAAGUCUCCUUGCAUGUAUAGCUUUGAAUCCCAAAUGCCUGGUCACCAGAGCUUAGCCAAUAUGCACUGAUUAUACUUGAAGGGAGGUGGUCCAUGGGAGAAGCGCCCCUGGAUGGAAAUAUAAGCCUUAGGCAUAAUCGUGCAAAUGUUAUUUGCCGUGAGAAGGCAUUUCGAAGCAGAUGCAUCCCACCAUCUCUCCACUUGGCUGCCUCGCAAUGAAGCAACCCCUUCCUCAGCCUCCCAGGAGAGUGCCAUUUGUCGCGGGCCUGGGACCGAGACUUGGGAGCCAGACCACAGGAACAGCUAAAAUCCUUCUGUUGGCUGUUCUUUCUCUUUUGCCAGGCUCCCUAAGAGCACACAUGUGGAGAUAAUUGAACCUCUCCAGGGCCCAUGCUCUACGGAGGCAGAGAGUGAAGGCGUGGAGCGUUGUCUCGGCAGCCCGACGCCAUCUGGGGAAUAUAUGCUGAUGUUGCUACAGAUGGCAUGCUGUUCAGUUCACCCCUUGUAAGUUCACAUUCAUUGUUCUCCGUCUGGUUUUCAAAGAUUCAAAAAUUAGUUGAC
ensembl:lncRNA